AUGCGGGCAGGUUCAAACAUUACUUGUAAACACGUAACUUCGCUCACAUCUGUAACGCGCAUGCGCGAGUAGUAGCUCUCCUGCAUGUAGGCCGGGUGGUCUGAACGUCUGAACGCAGAAGCGUAAAUCAGGCUUGACACAACCGUUUCGUGUUGCCGUCUCCUCCUCCUCCGCCUCCUCCUCCUCCUCCUCCUCCGGAAGGGUGCGCUCAUACUCAGCAGUCGUUCGUAGCUUGAUAGAGAGAAACACAACCGACCAGUUGUCCAGAAGUGUUAUUCUAUUCUCAUAUGUGUAAAUGUGUUAGAGGGGAACUCACUGACUGAGCAGUUUACUCGUUUAAGAGCUUCACAAGAUUCAAGACGUCCAAGAGGGGCAUGAUCCGACACCACCGUAAACUGUCGGCCCAGGAGGUAGAACCGCAGGGAUUUCAGGGCCCAGGGAGGAGAUGAUCUGCAGCAUCCUGGUGAUCUUCAUCCUG